UACGAAGGGUGCAAGCGUUACUCGGAAUUACUGGGCGUAAAGCGUGCGUAGGCGGUUCGUUAAGUCUGUCGUGAAAGCCCUGGGCUCAACCUGGGAAUUGCGAUGGAUACUGGCGAGCUGGAGUACGGUAGGGGCAGAGGGAAUUUCCGGUGGAGCGGUGAAAUGCGUAGAGAUCGGAAAGAACACCAACGGCGAAAGCACUCUGCUGGGCCGACACUGACACUGAGAGACGAAAGCUAGGGGAGCGAAUGGG
rnacentral:rRNA from 1 species